GCUAAAAUAAACCUUUUGUCUUCAUAAAG
rnacentral:piRNA from 1 species